CCAAGUCAUUCCAGGUGGGGCUGGGGCUGAAAGGGGGGCAUUUUACACUUGUUUAUGAAAGCAAAGGACAGAUUCUUCCAUAUGGGGGUGGAAUGAUGGUCUAAGUGGGUGGGCGUCAGUUCUCCCCUUUUUUGUAAUUUUCUGCCAUGAAACAAGCCACUUAUGGGACUUUUUGGAUGGUGGUUUUUUUUAAUUAAAAAAAAUUAAAAACCAACAAAUUGUCCGCUCCCCUUCAAUUUAAAUAUACAUAUUCCUCCCACCCUGCCCUACAUUUCUGCUCAAUACCAAAGCCCUAUGGCAAGCCAAUCCCUAAAUAUUCAAAGGUGGGGGAAUAACCACAAAAAGGAAAUCACAUCAUACCUCCAUUACUAAUGCUGGGCUGGGCAGAGGGUCUGCAGAUAGUGCUGGUGCUGGACACUCUCUGCCUGCCUGCCUGCUUCUUUCCUGAGCUUCAGGCUUCAGGGAGGCCUGCAUGGAAGUCCCACCCACUGACCGAAUAGCUGAGAGGUGGGAGAGGCGGAGCUCUAGCAGUUUGCCUGGGAGCCUUUCAAGCCACACACGGACACAUAAGAUCAGCUCUGGCUGGGCUGUGGGGAAAGACAAGUGGCUGGGACUGGGGGAUGGAGGAGGGCAGGCUGCACUGCCUGUGCCAGCACGGUGCUCAGGGCAAUUGCCCCAGUCGCCCUGCCCGAAGGAUGGCCCUGUAUGGGGUUAGUUCUUUAGGAUGUUCUUUGUGUUCGCUGAUAUAUUUUGUGGAGAAUGGAAGCUCUUUUAGAGGCUUUACCCCUUCUCUUGCUUUUUCAUUUUUAAUUAAACUUAUUUUUUUGUUUUCUACAGUGAAUUUUUGUAGUAUAUUUUUCUUUUUCUUUAUUAAGUUCGGUUUUGAUAACCGUUCUGUUUCUGAGGGAGAACCUUUUCCUUUGGGUUUUUUCAUCCCCAAGCUCAAGAGCCUGACUAGGCAAGAUAUUUGUCUUUUGUCAUGCCUAGACUUUUUAAGGCUAUUAAAAAGAAUUAAUUUUCAAAGAAUUAAUUUAGUGCUUUUAUUUCUAGAGAUUUCUGGCAAUUAUCCUGCUAGAUGACUGCUAGAUAUCAAACUUUCUUUCUGUUGUAAAUAAUUCAUUUGUAGAUUCUAAAAUAAAAACUGUGAGUUUUCCUUUAAUAUGUCUGUUGCUGGGAACAAGUAGUGAUUUUAAGUGGUAUAAGCAAGUGGAUGGGCAGGAAACUGAUCAACUCCAUAGUUGUAUAAAGGCUCAUUGUCUUGUAUUGAAAACACUUGUUUCUUUCUAUGUAUCUUUUUUGCAUUCAUCUAAGUUCCAUUUUUCCUUUAUUUCCAGUGUAAGAAACUUGAUGCCAGAAUAAACCACUUUUAUUCACUUCAGUAAACUCAGUAGGACAGUACACUGCUCUCCAACUGAAGAACAAACAGAAAUGUAACUGAGCAGUUAUCCAAGCACAAAACCCAAGGCCAGCACAUACAGGAAAUGUGGUAUUUGUUCUCUUACCUAUGAGAAACAGGAACUACCUGCUACAAGCUAGUAUUCUGCUGGAAGAGAUGAGAAGGGUUGAGGCAUACCUUUCUACACUGCACCUUAUCAGGGAAGACGACAGAAGAAGCUCUUGCUGAACAACAACAGGAGGAGGUUUUCAAGGAGGAGGAUGAAAAACAUGGAAGCAUGUUUCCAGGAUUGGAGAACCAAAACUUUGGUGCCACUGGAGUUGAGCAACUGGUCAAGGUUCUUCCUAUGGAGAGUGAUCUAUGAGAGACCACUCUUGAGAGUGAUCACUGGACAUGAUCUGUCAUCUCAGGCUCCACAGAAGUGUGGAAGAUAUUGGUCCUUCAGGGAUCGUAAGGAAACCAACCAGUACCUCAAGGAAGAAGAUCUGUAUGGCGGUAGUGGGCAACUCCCUACUGAGUCAGACAGAAGCAGUUGUGUGCAUACCCAACAGGUCAUGUGUUGUCUUUCUAGUGCACACAUCUGAAAUGUGAUGAAGAGGGUUCAGAGACUCAGCAAACCAUCCUUUCCUUCCCACCACUACCUUUUCCUAUUGAUCCAUAUUUAUUUAUUUUUAUUUAACAUAUUUUUAUACCGCCCAAAACUCACGUCUCUGGGCGGUUUACAAUCCAUAUGGGAACAAAUGAUACUGCUAGAAGAAACCUGAAAUGGAUCUCAAGAGAUUACAAGACACUGUAGGAUAAAGGUGCUGGGGGAACACACUUGCUGUCCCUACUGCUAUGAAGCAUUCAUAUUCAUAGGCAGUUUGGCUCUCAUGUAGAACUUCCAUGUUCAAGAGCAGUCCAUACCACAAUAAUAGUUUGUUGGCACUGGGUAGGAAUGGUUUCUAGAAUUUUCUUGUUGCACUUAUUUGAAGCUUUCUGGAAACAUAUAUCUGAGCACUGUGAGAAAGAAGAUGCUAAGGUGGAGUAGACAUGUCUUUUCCAGCAGCAUUUUGAUAACUGAACCUGC